rnacentral:rRNA from 1 species
GUCUAUAUGAGAGUUAUAUAAAGUCUGACCUGCCCAUUGGGAACUAAAAGGCCGCGGUAUUAUGACCGUGCGAAGGUAGCAUAAUCAUUAGUCUUUUAAUUGGAGGCUGGAAUGAAUGGUUGGACGAGAAGUAAGCUGUCUUUAUCUCAUGGAUUGAAUUUAACUUUUAAGUGAAAAGGCUUAAAUGAAUUAGAGGGACGAUAAGACCCUAUAAAGUUUAUACAUGGAGUUAGUUGAGAGUAAUUUAGAAUAGUAAAGUUUAUUAUUAGCAGGAUGUUUGGUUGGGGCGACUGGAAUAUAAGUUAUAUAACUGUUUUUUAUUUAAGUCAGAAAUAUUUGUUUAUAGUGAUCCUUUUUUUGGAUUAAAGAGCAAAUUACUUUAGGGAUAACAGCGUAAUUUUUUUUGAGAGUUCUUAUCGACAAAAGAGUUUGCGACCUCGAUGUUGAAUUAAAAAUUUCUUUGUGGUGUAGUGGUUACAGGAGAAGGUCUGUUCGACCUUUAAAUUUUUACAUGAUUUGAGUUCAGACCGGCGUGAG